UGUGGGAGAAAACAUAGCUCAAACACAUCUUGUUUUAAAGUUCUUGUUUUGCUCUGUAUCCAAAUGCUGUUUGAUUCUCACCUAAAUAGCAGGAUAAAUUAGGACUGCAGACUUUAAAAGUUUAGUCUGGACUAUUUCUUGCUGCAUAAAGCUGCCACCACAUUUGGAUUUGAGGGCAAUGGGACAAUGUUCGGUUUCCCUACUAAUAACUCCAGGUCUUGGUGACCUUCGAUCUUCGAUUCCAGAGACUGUAAGGGGUUUUGCUGGAGCUGCCUCUGGAGUACAACCCUGACAGCUUUAAACCUUUUUUUGUGCUUCUGCAAGAAAACAGCAAAGUUAAUUGAGAAAGUAGGGCAAAUUGGCAAAUACAGAGCUGAUGAUAUUCCA